ensembl:lncRNA NSUN5P1 NSUN5 pseudogene 1
GAAUGAGCUCAGCUCUCACUUCCCCACUCCUCACCCCCCUGUAAAGUAACCUUUCUCCAAGGUUAUGCUUCAACAGGAAUAGCUAACAUUUAUUAAAUUGUGGCACGUAAGUAUCUUGGAUAUAUUGGCUCAUUGAAUCCUCACACCUACUAUUUUACAGAGAUGCCAGUGGGGCUUGAGAUUGAAUCACUUGCCCAGGCUCCCACUGCUGGUAAACAGUAGAGGGGGCUCCUGACCCAUCAGUCUGGCUUGACAACCCAUUCCCUCAACUGCGGAUCCCGGAUUCCCUUAUCACCCUGUUGAUUUCUCCAUAGCUGUGGUAACAUUUGUUGCAUGAAUGGACCGUUGAAAUAGGGCCUGGCAGGGAGAAAUUCAGGAAAUGAAUGAAUGGUUCUUCCCUGGCAGCCUUGAUGACUUACAAGCCCUCAAGGGGAAGCAUUUUCUCCUGGACUCCUUGAUGCCGGAGCUGCUGGUGUUUCCCGCCCAGACAGAUCUGCAUGAACACCCACUGUACCGGGCCGGACACCUCAUUCUGCAGGACAGGGCCAGCUGUCUCCCAGCCAUGCUGCUGGACCCCUGCCAGGCUCCCAUGUCAUCGAUGCCUGUGCCGCCCCAGGCAAUAAGACCAGUCACUUGGCUGCUCUUCUGAAGAACCAAGGGAAGAUCUUUGCCUUUGACCUGGAUGCCAAGCGGCUGGCAUCCAUGGCCACGCUGCUGGCCUGGGUUGGCGUCUCCUGCUGUGAGCUGGCUGAGGAGGACUUCCUGGCGGUCUCCCCCUUAGAUCCGCGCUAUCGUGAGGUCCACUAUGUCCUGCUGGAUCCUUCCUGCAGUGGCUCGGGUAUGCCGAGCAGACAGCUGGAGGAUCCCGGGGCAGGGACACCUAGCCCGGUGCGUCUGCAUGCCCUGGCAGGGUUCCAGCAGCGAGCCCUGUGCCACGCGCUCACUUUCCCUUCCCUGCAGCGGCUCGUCUACUCCAUGUGCUCCCUCUGCCAGGAGGAGAAUGAAGACAUGGUACCAGAUGCGCUGCAGCAGAACCCGGGCGCCUUCAGGCUAGCUCCCGCCCUGCCUGCCCGGCCCCACCGAGGCCUGAGCACGUUCCCGGGUGCCGAGCACUGCCUCCGGGCUUCCCCCAAGACCACGCUUAGCGGUGGCUUCUUCGUUGCUGUAAUUGAACGGGUCGAGAUGCCGAUGUGAGUGAGUGGGGGCAUGCUUGGGAGGCGCAGGAUGGUACUGGCACAUCUAACAUCUACACUUCUCUAGCUCAGCCUCACAGGCCAAAGCAUCAGCACCAGAACGCACACCCAGCCCAGCCCCAAAGAGAAAGAAGAGACAGCAAAGAGCCGCAGCCGGUGCUUGCACACCGCCUUGCACAUAGCAGAGGCUCCAGGCUGACUCCUUCCUGGUGGGAAAGGAAGAUGCCUGUCCUCUCCGUGGAGGACCCUGGGCCCUCACCGCAGGCAGCAGUUUGCAUUUUGAAAGGUUAUUGGGUCCCUUCCUCGGGCUGUGUUCUUGCUGGUGAGCAAAAGUGUUGCCUGCAGAAAUAAAAUGCAGAACGUACUCUA